rnacentral:rRNA from 1 species
CAGUAGCCGCGGGAAAACCAGCAGCCCAAGUGGUGGUCGCGCUUAUUGGGCCUAAAGCGCUCGUAGCCUGGCCGGUAAGUUCCCCGUGAAAUCGGGUCGCCCAACGAUUCGGCUUGCGGGGAAUACUGUCGGUCUUGGGGCCGGGAGACGCCGAGGGUACUCCGGGGGUAGCGGUGAAAUGCUGUAAUCCUCGGGGGACUACCAGUGGCGAAGGCGCUCGGCGAUAACGGGCCUGACGGUGAGGGGCGAAAGCUGGGGGCGCGAACGGGAUUAGAUACCCCCGUAGUCCCUGUCUCUUAUU